UCACAUGAACAGCUGCACCAAGUUGUUAUGGCAACUAGAAUUUUAAAAGUAAAUUAAUUUCGCUACAAGGUGUUAUUAAGACCAGCCAAAAGUCUACCCACCUGAGGCCCUAACUCAACCCCACUAUGAAGACUUCCUCUCCCACCUCCAACAGGUAUUAUCUCUUCCACCUUUGAAACCUCAGGAAAAGUUCUCCUUAAGCAUAGUGUAAGUUUUUUGCUGGAUUCCUUUCUACAGUCAACAAUCAAUAUCCACGUUUUCCUUGGUUUCCCACAUAGACAUAGUCAUCAGCUGAUCUGGGAUCCUGCUUGGACACUGAUUGGAAAAUUGCAAGUACAACACUGAAUCCUUUAUCACUUGCAAAGUCUUCUUCUGGUAUAGGAAAAAAAAAAGUGUGAUUACAGGGGACAAGAAGGAGAUCUAAUGAAGGCUUCUCCUUUCUAUCCUGGCAGUUCCUCCUCAGGCGGGUUACAGGAACAUCCUUCUUAUUCUAAAUUUCUUGAAUACCUCUGAUACUAAGCUGGUUUUUAGUCAUUUUUCAAUCUGGUCUGACUUUUUG